rnacentral:rRNA from 1 species
UACGGAAGGCAGCAGUGGGGAAUAUUGGACAAUGGGCGCAAGCCUGAUCCAGCCAUGCCGCGUGUGUGAAGAAGGCCUUCGGGUUGUAAAGCACUUUUGUCCGGAAAGAAAAGCUUAGGGUUAAUAACCUUGAGUCAUGACGGUACCGGAAGAAUAAGCACCGGCUAACUUCGUGCCAGCAGCCGCGGUAAUACGAAGGGUGCAAGCGUUACUCGGAAUUACUGGGCGUAAAGCGUGCGUAGGUGGUUUUGUUAAAGUCUGAUGUGAAAGCCCUGGGCUCAACCUGGGAAUGGCAUUGGAAACUGGCUUACUAGAGUGCGGUAGAGGGGUGUGGAAUUCCCGGUGUAGCAGUGAAAUGCGUAGAUAUCGGGAGGAACAUCUGUGGCGAAGGCGACACCCUGGGACCAGCACUGACACUGAGGCACGAAAGCGUGGGGAGCAAACAGGAUUAGAUACC